UCACUUGAACCCAGGAGGCAGAGGUUGCAGUUAGCCGAGAUCAUGCCACUGCACUCCAGCUUGGGUGACAGACUACCUAUAGACACUGAGGCUCAAAUUUCAAUUUCCAGCCCAGCCUUCUUCUCUGAGCUCCAGACUUACCUCCCUAACCAACUGCCUUCCAAACUUUACUACCUGAUGCUUCAUAGGCACAUUAAACAUAGUGAGUCCAGAACCAAACUCCUGUUAUCUUCCAUAUGGCUCAGUGAAAACAUCUUAUUCCUGGCUGCCCAUGCCAGAAAGCUAAGUCAUCAUCUAAGAUGCAGCUUGAAUUGAUCUCCUCUCUCCCCACUUAGUAGUCACCUUCAUAGGUGACUUCAUACUUUCCCCACAUAGUCCAAGUCACCUUCGUCUCUACCCUGGACUACACUAUAACCUCCUAAUUAGUCUUCCUACAGCCCCUUAUCCCCCUCAGUAUUUUCUUUUGCUGCUAGAACAAAUUACCACAAACGCAGUGGCUUAAAAACAACACUAAUUUAUUUUCUUACAUUUCUGAAGAAAUCUUACAUGCAUCUCAAUGGGCUAAAAUCAAGGUGAGUUUGAUUCCCUUCUAAAGGUUGUAUGAGAGAAUCUAUUUCCGUGGUUUUUCAAGCUUCUAGAAGCUACCCACAUACCUUGGCUUGUGACCUCCUUCCUUCAUCUCCAAAGUCAGCCAUGUUGUAUCUCUUUGACCAUUCUUCCAUAGUCACUCCAUGUCUUUUGUCCCCAUGUUCUACUUUUAAGGACCCUUGCGAUUACUUUGGGGCCCCCCUGGAUAAUCCAAGGUAAUCUCUUUAUCUUAAGGUCAGCUGAUUAGCUAAUUACCUCCCUUUUGCCAUGUAACAACAUAUUUACAGAUUCUGGGUAUUAAUAUGUGGAUAUCUUUAGGAGGCCAUUAUUACGUCUACCAUAUUUUCUAAUACAUAAACUCAUUUUCCACACAUCAGCCAGAGUAAUCUUUUUAAAAACAUAAAUAUGUUCAUGACACUUCCUUCAAUGUGUUACCACUCCUCUAAGGAUAAAGUUCAAAAUCCUAAACAUGUGCCUCAAAUCCAUGCAUGGCCUGGUUCCUACCUCCUGGGCUUGUCUUCUGGUGCACUGUGUCCCAGCCACAUAGGCUUCUCUCUUUUUCUCAAGCACCAAGCUCCUUUCUUUCUCAGGAUCUUUGCUCACACUAUCUCUGCUGUCUGAACAGCUCUCCCCACCUUCCAGCCAACCUUUACCUGGCUAACGCUUGCUCAAUCCUUCAGAUCUCUAUAAAAGUUACUUUCACAGGGUGGCCUUUCCUGAUUGCCCAGUCUAGUAUUAGCUCCCCCUACACUGUCAUAGUACUCUUUUUCUUUCAUAUCUUUUUAUCACAAUUUAAAUUAAAUGUAUUUGCAUAAUUAUUUGUUUAAUAUCUGCCUGCCUGCACCAGACUGCAAACCCAUAAAGGCUGGAGCCUAGUCUGUUCUGUUCACCACUGUAAACCCUGGGACUUCGCACUAACUAGCUUAUAACAGGUGCUCAAUAAAUAAGUGAGUGACAUUACAUGUUAUUAUAUGACCAGCAGGCAGGUAGAGUAUAUGCAGUGUGGAUAUGCUGGACAAAGGGAUGAUUCGUGGCCCCAGGCAGGAUGGAGCACAAUGGCAUGAGAUUUUAUCACACUACACAGUACAGUAUGCAACUUAAAAGUUAUUAAUUGUUCAUUUCUGGAAUUUUCCAUUUCAUAUUUUCAGACCGCAGCUGACUUCUGGUAAGUGAAAUUGUGGUAAGUGAAACCAGGAAAGCGAAACUAAAAUAAACUAACAAAUUACUAGAGAAACCCACACGUAGAAUGUUGAUUUUUAAAACCAAAUUGCGCUUACUGAUAUCAUUCAUAUGCUUAUAGGAAGAAAAACUAUUAGUAGUAAUAAAAUACAGUAGCAGUAAGACAAAUAUGUCUUAUUUGGGUGGCAAAAGAAGAAUGUGAGAUGAUCUGUGGAGGAUUCCCCACUUUUAACAAAAGUCAGCCUGCUCUGCUGAAAUUAGCAAAAUCACACAGGUGAUUUCAAAGAAAACCCAUUGCUUACAAAGAAAUGAGAUAAUGAUAUAACAAAUCAAGUAUAUAAGACAUUCAUUAAUGCCUUUAUAAUUCUCACAAACACACAAAUAAUCCAACAGCAAAUUCUGAUGUAUGUGUGACGCAGGAGGGAAAAUUCAUAGUAGGAGCAAAGAAUUAUCUUUAGUCCUUGCUGGUACAACCACCAUCAUGAAUUCAACAAAUAUUUAUUGAGUGCCUACUAUGUGUCAGGUUCUGUUCUCUAGUUGAAGAUACUAUAGGAAAAAUAACAGAGAAAAACCCCUGUCCUUGUGGAUCUUACAAUAUAGUGAAAGAUUUAAAACCUUGAGUAAGACAUAUACUUGGGUGGCUAAAGGGUUUGUUAUGGAAAAAUUAAGAAGGACUGAUAACAAAAAGGGAAUAAUAGCUACAUAAAGAUAUAAAUACAAAAUGAAGGUUGUUGAUGACAGAUAGUGAAACUGAAUAUAUAAGCAGAGAGCACAUUCUCAUUAUUCUAAAUUAUUUUUGCUAAAAUCAAAUACAAGUAAUUACUUUCCUCUAAUGCAGCUUGAAGAGAGUAUUAUACGUAUGAAUCGAAAAUACUAAGAUGAUGACUAUUGUUAUAUGAUGCACAAGAAGGAACCAUAAUGUGCAACUACCAAAUCCAGACCAACAGACUAGUUUCUACUGGAUAAAAACUUAACUUAAAAACAUAGGGAAAUGUACUGAUAAACUUUCUAACUUAUCUGGAAAUAUAUUCCAGAAAUGAGAGGGGAAGAAUACUGAUUAUAGGAAAUUAUUGCAAAUAUGGAAAUUAGGGGUUAUUAAAGUAAAUUUAUGCAGUUAUCUCAGCAUAGGAGUAGUUUCUUAUGUUUCAUACACAAUUAUGCAUUGCAUAAAAGCUUUCAGUCAACCAUGGAUCGCAUAUACAAGUGGUCCCAAAGAUUGUUAACACUUUAUUUUACUGUAUCUUUUCUAUGUUUAGAUACAUAAAUACUUUCCAUUGUGUUACGAAUGCCUACAGUAUUCAGUACAAUACUAUGCUGUACAGAUUUCUAGGUUAAGAGCAAUAGGCUAUUCCAUAUAGCCUUAGGUGUGUAGCAGGCUUAUGAAAGUACACUCUAUGACGUUGGCACAAUGAAAAAAAUCACCCAGCAAUGAACUUCUCAGAACAUAUCCCCAUUGUUAGGAGGCGCACGACUGUAUUUAGUCCAACAACUUGCUGAAAUGUGAUUCUACCAUUUUUCCAGUCAACUCCUAAGUUUUAAAUACCAUACAUCUGCCACCUUACCAGGCAGUUUCAACCAUAACAACAGAAGAAUACUCUUGGCAAAUAGAUCCCACUCUCUGAGGGUUGUGUUGGGGCUCAGAAAAUACUACCCCGAAGUAUGACACUUUGGCAUGCUGAAUACUUUGAACUAAAAGAGAUUGGAAGGCCUCAGAAGCAGCCUCGGAAGCAGUCUCUCCCUCUGAUCUCCUGCCCUUCUGUCUCCUGCCCAUCUUUCGUCCCAGAAGUGAGUCACAGAAACCAGAAUUCUUCCCCAAGCGCAGCUUAACUUGGACUCACCACCUAUCAAGUGCUCGACAGCCACGUGUGCAGUGGUUCCUACGUGGAGCAGCAUACAUCCAGAGAUGCAAAUAUUAAUGAGGACAGUGCUAGUAACAGAGUUGCUGAGCAAUCUAUGUCCCCUUGUAAGAACCAGUGCCCCAGGGGAAGAAACAGAACUCCACAAGGUAGCAGUGUGGGUGUAGUACCCGCAUGUGCCCAUGUUAUGGGAAUGUAGAUGGGGAGUGACCACCGCCAACAGAAGUGUGGCCAUCUUGCCCGAGAUGCCUGAGGACCUCCUAUUUUUAGAUGCUGCUGCCCAAGGCCUGUAUUUCAUGCUAUGGCUUUUGUCAUUUGAAUUAUCAGUAGCUGUCUCGGAGCUAUUACGCUUCACUGGGCCCUGGAGGAUAUUGUCUUAUACAGUCCACUGGGUUUUGGAUAUGCAGUCUGUGCCUUUCAUUGCCUUCCUGGAAAAUAAUAACUAAACUCUUCCUCACCAGG
rnacentral:lncRNA from 1 species